rnacentral:rRNA from 1 species
CCUACGAGUGGCUGCAGUGAGGAAUAUUGGUCAAUGGCCGGAAGGCUGAACCAGCCAUGCCGCGUGAAGGUCAGUGCCCUAUGGGCGUUAAACUUCUUUUGUGCGGGAGCAAUAAUGGUAACGUGUGGCCAGACGAGAGUACCGUACGAAUAAGCAUAGGCUAACUUCGUGCAAGCAGCCGAGGUAAUACGGGGGAUGCAAGCGUUAUCCGGAUUUAUUGGGUUUAAAGGGUGCGUAGGCUGUGAGGUAAGUCAGCGGGGAAAUGCCCCCGGUCAACGGGGUGAAGUGCCAUUGAUACUGCCUUGCUGGAAUGCGGAUGCCGUGGGAUGAAUGUGUGGUGUAGCGGUGAAAUGCAUAGAUAUCACACAGAACACCGAUUGCGAAGGCAUCUCACGAAUCCGCGAUUGACGCUGAUGCACGAAAGCGUGGGUAUCAAACAGGAUUAGAUACCCGGGUAGUC